AGUGAACGCUGGCGGUAGGCCUAACACAUGCAAGUCGAACGGCAGCACAGUAAGAGCUUGCUCUUACGGGUGGCGAGUGGCGGACGGGUGAGGAAUACAUCGGAAUCUACUUUUUCGUGGGGGAUAACGUAGGGAAACUUACGCUAAUACCGCAUACGACCUACGGGUGAAAGCAGGGGAUCUUCGGACCUUGCGCGAUUGAAUGAGCCGAUGUCGGAUUAGCUAGUUGGCGGGGUAAAGGCCCACCAAGGCGACGAUCCGUAGCUGGUCUGAGGGGAUGAUCAGCCACACUGGAACUGAGACACGGUCCAGACUCCUACGGGAGGCAGCAGUGGGGAAUAUUGGACAAUGGGCGCAAGCCUGAUCCAGCCAUACCGCGUGGGUGAAGAAGGCCUUCGGGUUGUAAAGCCCUUUUGUUGGGAAAGAAAAGCAGCGGGUUAAUACCCCGCUGUUCUGACGGUACCCAAAGAAUAAGCACCGGCUAACUUCGUG
rnacentral:rRNA from 1 species